rnacentral:rRNA from 1 species
UACGUAGGUGGCAAGCGUUGUUCGGAAUUAUUGGGCGUAAAGGGCGCGUAGGCGGCUUGGCAAGUCGGGUGUGAAAGCCCUCAGCUCAACUGAGGAAGUGCGCCCGAAACUGCUUUGCUUGAGUGCUGGAGAGGGUCGCGGAAUUCCCCAAGUAGAGGUGAAAUUCGUAGAUAUGGGGAGGAACACCAAUGGCGAAGGCAGCUUGCUGGGACGGUACUGACGCUGAGGCGCGAAAGCGUGGGGAGCAAACAGG